rnacentral:tmRNA from 1 species
GGGGGCGAUCUGGUCUCGACGGAGGUCAUGAGACAGAGGCUGCAUGUCGGGGUUCCACCCACCCCGGAAAAAGGUGGAUAUAACUAAGUGCAGAAGCACAACCAGUCGCUGCCUAAAGAAUAGGCAUGCCGUUUCUCUUGCACUUUCCUGCGGUGCUUGAGAAGCGUCGACCAGCAGGAUAGCGAUCCGGAUGGAUCCUGGAUCCGGUGAGCGAACCAUUCACAGGAUUAGUUCCUCGGUUUCUUUCCUCUUCAGAAAUCGGGGAACGAAAAUAGAGAAGAGGAUAAGCAUGUAGAAGCCUCGUGUCGAAGGUCUUCGGACGCGGGUUCGAUUCCCGCCGCCUCCACCA